rnacentral:rRNA from 1 species
GAUGAACGCUAGCUACAGGCUUAACACAUGCAAGUCGAGGGGCAGCGGGAUUGAAGCUUGCUUCAAUUGCCGGCGACCGGCGCACGGGUGAGUAACGCGUAUCCAACCUUCCGUACACUCAGGGAUAGCCUUUCGAAAGAAAGAUUAAUACCUGAUGGUAUGAUGAGAUUGCAUGAUAUCAUCAUUAAAGAUUUAUCGGUGUACGAUGGGGAUGCGUUCCAUUAGGUAGUAGGCGGGGUAACGGCCCACCUAGCCAACGAUGGAUAGGGGUUCUGAGAGGAAGGUCCCCCACAUUGGAACUGAGACACGGUCCAAACUCCUACGGGAGGCAGCAGUGAGGAAGAUUGGUCAAUGGACGAGAGUCUGAACCAGCCAAGUAGCGUGAAGGAUGAAGGUCCUACGGAUUGUAAACUUCUUUUAUAAGGGAAUAAACCCUCCCACGUGUGGGAGCUUGUAUGUACCUUAUGAAUAAGCAUCGGCUAACUCCGUG